ACGUUGAAACAUUGAUUUCCGUAAGAUCACCGAAAUUAAACAACGUCGAGCCUAGUUAGUAUCUAGAUGGGUGACCGCUUGGAAAUAUCAGGGGCUGUAAG